UACGAGGGGGGCGAGCGUUGUUCGGAAUUAUUGGGCGUAGAGAGCUCGUAGGCGGCCUGUUGCGUCCGCUGUGAAAGCCCGGGGCUUAACCCCGGGUCUGCAGUGGAUACGGGCAGGCUAGAGGUAGGUAGGGGAGAAUGGAAUUCCCGGUGUAGCGGUGAAAUGCGCAGAUAUCGGGAGGAACACCGGUGGCGAAGGCGGUUCUCUGGGCCUUACCUGACGCUGAGGAGCGAAAGCGUGGGGAGCGAACAGG
rnacentral:rRNA from 1 species